GAUGAACGCUGGCGGCGUGCCUAAUACAUGCAAGUCGAGCGAACGGACGAGAAGCUUGCUUUUCUGAUGUUAGCGGCGGACGGGUGAGUAACACGUGGAUAACCUACCUAUAAGACUGGGAUAACUUCGGGAAACCGGAGCUAAUACCGGAUAAUAAUUUGAACCGCAUGGUUCAAAAGUGAAAGACGGUCUUGCUGUCACUUAUAGAUGGAUCCGCGCUGCAUUAGCUAGUUGGUAAGGUAACGGCUUACCAAGGCAACGAUGCAUAGCCGACCUGAGAGGGUGAUCGGCCACACUGGAACUGAGACACGGUCCAGACUCCUACGGGAGGCAGCAGUAGGGAAUCUUCCGCAAUGGGCGAAAGCCUGACGGAGCAACGCCGCGUGAGUGAUGAAGGUCUUCGGAUCGGAAAACUCUGUUAUUAGGGAAGAACAUAUGUGUAAGUAACUGUGCACAUCUUGACGGUACCUAAUCAGAAAGCCACGGCUAACUACGUG
rnacentral:rRNA from 1 species